CCACAUCCCCCUCACCCCCGACGCUCCCUCCCGUGCUUGACUCCCCCACUCACCCGACACCACUUCUCCCACGCAGCGACUCCUCCUCCUCGAUCUCUCCCUCGCGGUCAGCCCACCAGGCGAGGGCGCCGGCCAAGGACGCGGGGCUGCCCCACCAAGCGAGGGCGCCGGCCAAGGACACGAGGCCGCCCACCGCCGGCCACCAGGGCGCAGGGCUCCGCACGCACUCUCUCGUGAUGCCAGGUGCCUAGGUUUUCGUCGGCCCUUGGCCAUGUCUUCGCUGGACCCUUCGCCGGCGACGAGCACCAAUAGAAUGCACAGGUGACGCAACAACACUCUGCUGACUAGCUGUUUGUUAAUUUGGUUUUGAGAAAGAUAAACUGGCAGCAGUGAUGAUAUGUUCCAUGGGAAUAUUUGCUGGGAGGCCACACGACACCAUGCGGCCACGACGAGCACCCCCGCAGCACGCGGCGCAGUCGCACAGCCAUCCUUGCCGCUUGCCGGUCGUCCCAUGUCACCGUCGAUCCGUCGUCCUCCGCACCUCAUGGAGCUGUGGGUGGUGCUGGGAUGCCUAGCCCGGGUCAUGGUGUUCCUGAAGGGUGCUGGAAACAUGAAUGAUAUUGUCUUUGAUGGCUCCUUCAUGCUUCUGGUGACAUAACAGAGUGAGCUUAUGAAAAUUUAGGACCACCAUCCCCAAAUGUUUUUCUUAUAUAUCAAUUGAAAAGGAAAUUUGGAUCAUUGAUAAAUGGAUGUAGCUUAGUGUUUUUGACACAGGUAAAUGAUGACAAUAGAUAGACUUCAGGUUUUAUUCAAAUUGUUGUGAUGGUAGUUUUUUUCUUGCUAAAUUGAAUGGUUUGGUUGUGCAAAAUAAGGAUCUGCAGAUAUCUAUAUGUAUCUAGCUCCCUUUUCAAUCAAAUUUUGUGGACUCUAGAGAAUCUGUAGUUGCUUGUAUUGUGACUCUACUCUACCCUUUAAGACUUUAUGUAAAAAUAUCAGCUAUUUUAUUUUUUAGUACCAGGUAGAAUGAAUAUGAGACCUAUAUGUAGAAAAAAUUCCUUGCUAAAUCGAAUGGUUUUUUUUGUGCAAAAUAAGCAUAUGCAGAGAUCUAUAUAUAUUUGGUUCAGUUGGAGAGGGUGUAUAUUAAUUUCCUCACUGACAGAUUUAAGCUUCUUAACAUACUGAGAGUAAUACAAAUGUACUAACCAUCAGAUUCACUAAUAUGUAUCUAACUCCCUGUUCAUUAGCUUUUAUUUGUCUGCCUGUACUAUAAGUGUCAGUUGAGGUUUUGCUGUCCUUAAAACUGCCAUAUUAUCAGUAAGAUCCAGUCCAGUUUUUUAUUUUAUUAAAAAGUGUUAUAAAAUCUAAUAUCAGAUCUUCUUUUGGAGCAACAACGAAAGCCCGUCAAUAUCAGAUCUUCUUUUGGAGCACUGCAAAGACUUUAUUAGGAAGUGAUCCAUCACAUGGUCCAACCUCAGUUGAGCUUUUGCAACACCUGUUGGUACAAAAUGGAGUUUCCUUUGAUAAAUAUGUAGCUCCUUAUCCUUUGGAACAUAUGGCUGACAUCCUGAAGACCAAAGCCCAAGAUGAAGAAGCAUUUGCAUCUGAAAGCUCUGUUUGAUAGCUUGAAUUGACGCAAAAAAGCAAGAAAGAGCUAAAAGGAUGGAAGAAAAGGAAGUCUAUGUGCAACUGUAUGAAGCAGUAGAGGCGUUUUUCCACAUGGCAAAUUCGAUGCUGGAUGAACCGGGCCUCGAGAUCAAGCGCUCAAGGGCAGUCGAGCAGCUGUCUGCAAGUUUCCUACCUACUGCAAGGGCAUUCCUGCAGAGUUUGGUUGUCUGGUGGCUGUGCCAACUGCAAGCGAAUGUAGCAACUCCUUGAGUUGCAUUCCUCGCAUGUAUUCUCUCCUGUGAUUCAGUAAGAGUUAGAGCUUUGUUAGGCCUCAAAAUUAUUCACAGUUUAGAGCGUAGUCAACACCAAAACUAUUGCUGUAGCUACUCUUGCUUCUUGGCCAACGCAAAGUUUUUUGUGACUUUACAUUCUGAUACGAUGAUGAGCAAAGUUUUUGUGACUUCACAUUAUGAUAAUAAUCAUAAGAUGGUCAAAAAUAUAAGUCUAAGGACUGAGGAUUUAUUAUUA